GACGAACGCUGGCGGCGUGCCUAAUACAUGCAAGUAGAACGCAGUUGCGAACGGGUGGGUAAGGCGUAGGUAACUGCCGGGUAGCGGGGGAUAACUAUUGGAAACGAUAGCUAAUACCGCAUACUACCAGAUGGACAUGCGUUGUAUUAGGUAGUUGGUGGGGUAACGGCUCACAAAGGCAACGAUACAUAGCCGACCUGAGAGGGUGAUCGGCCCCACUGGGACUUGGAAACGGCCCCGAAUUCUACGGGAGGCAGCAGUAGGGAAUCUUCGGCAAUGGACGGAAGUCUGACCGAGCACCGCCGCGUGAGUGAAGAAGGUUUUCGGAUUGUAAAGCUCUGUUGUACGAGAAGCGGUAUCCUACCAGAAAGGGACGGCUAACUACGUGCCAGCAGCCGCGGUAAUUC
rnacentral:rRNA from 1 species